AGAAACUGAGUCUCCAGGAAGUUAAGUGACUUGCCCAAGAUCCAUGGAGCUGGGAUUCAAGCCUGGAUCUGCCUGAACCUUUCUGCCAAGACACGGAAUAGGAUCUCUCAUGGCUCUUGAGGAUGUGAUGGAUGGCUGUGAGGGCACAGAGGAGGCUCCCAUCUGGGCGAAUGACAACUAUAGGAUUUUCAUAUAAGUGGAACCAGGUCAGUCUGUGAAGGUCUUUAGAGGCUGCUCUGGGAUCCUGCCUUCUACUCCUCUGGCCAACAUAUGCCAAGGACCCAGAAGAAGAUGCAGAGGGUGCAGACCUGUAACAAUAGGAGGCGGUAGAACAAAAUGAAAGUGCAGAGAAAAGCUCGGAUAGCAGGAUCGGGAUCCAGAAAAUUCUCCAUAUGCUGGAGUGACAAAGUGAAUUUAGCAUGAUGAAAUGUCACAGGGAUGAAUGCUGGGGCCUAUCUCGACUACAGGAAAGAAUUGUAGAGAGGGACAGCAGCACAUGAGAAAGAGAUCUAGGAGUUCAAGGGCCGCUGUUGUAUAUUGAGCUGGGGGUUGUAAAAGGAGGAGUAAGAGAAGAAAGACGAUGAGGAGACAUUGGCCAGCUCCGAGGAGUGGGCAUCCCACCUGGCAAGAUGGAACAAGACACUGAUCCCUGACUAAGAGCUGCCUGGGGAUAGAUUGAGUCACCUGUCCUGUGUGGUCCCUGGGACAGUGAUUGAGCCAGUUCGAGAAUAUUGCGAAGAGGCCGAUGUUGGCUCUGUUCAAGGAAGAAGUUUGCAACAAUCGCAGAUGUUUCAAUCAUGAAAGGGGCAGUAAAAGAAUUCUAGUCUCCAGAGGCCUCAAGCAGAGUGUGGACCUGUUGGGGAGGCUUCGGAAGGGUGCUGGUCUCCAGAGGUGUCAUCGUGGUUUUCUGGAGUUCCAUGAGCCCCGAGAAGGGGCUCUUCGGCUACCCCACUGCCUAGAGGUGGCAUGGCUUCCUUGCAGCCUGUCGCCUGGCUUAUACUGCGCGUCCUCAGCCCAAGAAUACUCUGGACGCUUGAAAUGAACAGUCGGUGAAGGUGAGAUGCGAACACAUAAAUAUCCUCAUUAAAUCCCAAAUACACAUCCCAAACUUUACAUAACAGGAGCAGCAGCUGGAGACGCCCACAGCCCUAAUUGCUUUUCUGUACUAAGAGAACGUCCUCUCUCCAGCUCCGCUUCUUCCAUUCAUUUAGGUAAUUACUGGAGGGAGCCAGCUGCGGCAGAGUGGCGGGCAGGCGGGCGGGUUUGCAACACCCCUCGUGGGUGCCGCCACGAGGAUGGGAUGCUGCGGGGCGCGGGAACCGCUCUCCUCUCUUCCUGGGGAGCGAGACCUGAGGCUGGGAGGUCAUCCGCUCAGCAUCUGUCCUGCUCCUCAGGAGCCCAGACUGAGCUGCUGGGGACAGGAGGCAUCGCCUCCCAGAGACCUGAUAGCACGAUUCAGGGCAGUGGGAAGGACCCAGGGCCGGGUAUAGGCAUGGUGAUAGAAAUGCUUGGCAGAAACUCCAUUCAACAAAUUGGAUCUUCUCUGAAUCUCGUGCUGGGCUGGGGACACUGAGACAGAUGGAUCAGCCUCGGUCCCUGCCCUCAGAGCUCCCAGCCCCCGGAAAGGAGGCAACUGUGCACAGGAAAGGGCUGGCAUCCAGGUAGGUUUUCAGGACAGGGGUACCAAGGAUGGGGCGAUGCUGGACUCCGUCUUGGGAAAGAGGGUCAGAGAAGACUUCUUGGAAUAAGAGGCAGUAGUGUUGGGCCUUAGAGGUGAGCAUGACCCCAGGAAGAAAGAACUAUUUCAAUUCUGUGUCCCCUUCUGCAACAUGGGGCCAAGGUCAUGGUGGACAUCAGGCCCCAGAGUGACGUCUAACUUGUCCCCUUGGCUCCCAGCCUCUAUAACCAUCCAGGACUCUUGAAGACUCUCUUGAGGUUUCUUUGCAUUCCAAGCAUGGUGCUCUCAGCUGGGAGCUGUCCUGGAUGCUGGACCGGGUGGUUGGCCAUAGCGGACGCCCUGGAUCAAUACGUAGGGCUUAAGCCCUUCUUGGAGGGGCUCGGGGGAGGGCUGUGGCCCAGGCGCUCUGCCCACCAGGCUUCCCGUGGGUGGCAAGUGAAACUUUUCUUCCUGGUUCUCUCCCGGCAGCCAGCUCCAUUCCCCCAGCCCCAAGUGGCGGCUCCUUGGGCCGGAAACAAUGUGCUUUCUCCACGCCUGGGAGUGGAAGUCAGCAGUUUGGCACCGUCUGGCUGGCAGCCUCCACCGGCUUCCUUUGGCACUUUAUUGGCAAAGGCGGUGACAUUUCUUUCAGUUGGGUGGGUGGAGCUGUUAUGCAAACUCCCGCUCUCCUCAUUCGCCAGAUGAAUAUUCAUGACUCAGGCAAUCUGUACCAGCCAGACUUCCCUGAGGGCGGCAGCUUUUCUUCUCUUCCCCUCUCUCUUUUUCUUUCUCCUUCUCUCCUUCCCAGCUCUUCGGAAAGCUGGAGUGCAGCUAUAUUUAAUUUACAAAUACGGAGCUCUUUAGCUUGCCUUUUGAGGUGCAGGCUUUAGGAAGGAGGUGCUGGGGUUGGGAACAGUGGUUGAAGCAUGGGGUCUCUGACCUUGGGCCUUCAGGGUUCAGCCUCUGGGGCCCCAGCUCCUGGGGAGCUCCUGGGUCUGGGGCUCCCUUUGGGCUUGGCGGUCUGGGUGCCCACACGCCUAAAGGGACAGCAGCCUGUGUCACCUUAUUCCAUGGUGGCCCCCGAGGUCAACAUGGACUUUCUGAGGGACAGUUUUUUUUUCUGCUCUGUGCAUGUAUGUCGCUGCUCCCUGGACCCCUGCCUCCCAUGCUCUCCCCUUUGUCAAGGUGCACCCAGACCCCGCUUCAAGCCCCAGACCAAAGCCUGGAAGGCAGUGAGUGGGGCCUCUGCUCAUCACUGCUUUCCUAGAGAAGCAACGGAUGCCUCCUUCGGGUCCAAAACCGGGGGGACACACCUGCUCCCUUUCUGAGAAAGAUGGCUCACUGGCUUCCUUUGUCUCUUCCCAAAGAGGCACCAGGAACCCCGGCAGAGGGGUCAGCAUUUCCAGAAUUUGCCAGGGAAUUUGGUCUCAGCAAGGAUGUGCUCGUGUAUGGCUUGUGUGUGUGUGUGUGUGUAUGUAAAUAUUUACGCACAGCUUAAGUGAGUCUGUAUGCCUACAUCUAUGUUCAAGUGUUUGAGUGUGUGUCUGUAUGUGUAAGGGCGUGAAUGUGUGUGUGGCGGGAAGUCUGGGAAUGUCUACAUGUGUGAAUGUGCCGCUCCAGUUAGCGUGGCGUGUGGAUCUCUGUGGGUCGGGGAGGGUUGUGGGUGAGGGUGCUCCUGGGGGUGCCGAGGCUUGUGUGUGUGCAUGUGUUAUGUGUAAGUGAGUUGUAGGUGUGCA